rnacentral:tRNA from 1 species
GGAGAGGUGGCUGAGUGGUCGAAAGCGGCACCGUGCUAAGGUGUUGACCUCGAAAGGGGUCCGUGGGUUCGAAUCCCACCCUCUCCGCCA